UACGUAGGGGGCAAGCGUUGUCCGGAUUUAUUGGGCGUAAAGCGCUCGCAGGUGGUUUGUCGCGUUGUCCGUGAAAUUCCCUGGCUUAACUGGGGGCGUGCGGGCGAUACGGGCAGACUGGAGUACUGCAGGGGAGACUGGAAUUCCUGGUGUAGCGGUGAAAUGCGUAGAGAUCGGGAGGAACACCAGUGGCGAAGGCGGUUCUCUGGGCCUUACCUGACGCUGAGGAGCGAA
rnacentral:rRNA from 1 species